GGGCGGUUAACUCAGCGGUAGAGUGUCACCUUCACACGGUGGAAGUCACUGGUUCGAAUCCAGUACCGCCCACCA
rnacentral:tRNA from 9 species